GUUGCAUCCUAAUGACAAGGUAGCGCUAACGUGCCUCUGCCACGUUAGAAAUUUAGAUGACUCUCAGCAUUAAAUUAAGAGAGGUGGCUGGAAGUGCACAGCUUUCAGGCCCCACAGUAGGCAGUUUUCAGUUGAUUAUUGAAGUUAUUAGGGACAGCUUGAUUGCAGCUACAGGUAGCAGCUUAUAAGGUUUCUGCUUUUGCUAUUUCUAGCGUUUUCCUGGCUAGUAUGUAUGGAGUGGAGAAAGAAAACUCAAAGCCACUACCCAGUGAAAUGAAGUCUAGUGAAAUACUCCUCCUGUGGCUUCUGGGAAGAAUCAGGAAGCAGCUUUUGAUGUCUAAAACACAGAAGAAAUAUAAAUAAUGCUGGGGAACAGUAGUAAAAUAUUGCAAGGGUCUUUCAUGAAACAGACGUCGUUACUUGCCAAAGCCUUCACAAUUAGAUGCAGUUUUAAUUUUGAAAGAUAUCUCCUUUUCAAUAUUCUUGAACAAGGUCAUGGAACAAAAGCCGAAUUUUGCGAGUCAAUUCAGAAGAUACAGGCUGUCCCCAAGUGCUGCAAGAUGAACCAGUAUAGAAGACAACUGACCUGGCUGAACAUGGAGCUUUUGCUGGCACUCAGGGAAAAACGAGAGUCUACUGCUUUUGGAAGACGGGGCAGGUAACACAAGAAGAGUACAGAGACCUUGUUAAGUCCUGCAGGGAGAAAAUGGGGCAAGCAAAAGCCCAGGUAGAACUCAAUUUGGCCACUGUUAUAAUGGAUAACAAAAAAUGUUUUUACAAAUACAUUAACAACAAAAAGAGAACCAAAGAGAAUCUCCAUCCUCUAUUGGGCCUGAGGGGAACAUUAUCACUGAGGCUGAGGAAAAGGCUGAGGUACUAAAUGAUUUCUUUGCCGCAGUCUCUAACAAUCAGACCAGUUAUUCCGCAGGUAUUCAGCCCUCUGAGCUGGAUGGCAGGGACACUGAGUGCAACAAAUCCCCCAUAGUCAAGGAGGAAGCAGUUUAUGACCUGCUGCUCCACCUGGACACUCACAAGUCACUGGGUCCAGACGGGAUCCACCCAAGAGUACUGAGGAAGCUGGCAGAGGAGCUCACCAAGCCACUCUCCAUCAUUUACCAGCAGUGCUGGAUAACAGGGGAGGUCCUAGAUGGCUGGAGGCUUGCUGAUGUGACACCCAUCUACCAGAAGGGCCAGGAGGAGGAUCCAGGGUUGUGGUGAAUGGAGCUAAAUCCAGUUGGUGGCCAGUCACAAGUGGGGUUCCUCAGGGCUCAGUGUUAGGGACAGUCUUGUUUAAUAUCUUUAUCAGUGAUCUGGAUGAGGUGAUCAAGUGCACCCUCAGGAAGUUUGUAGAUGACACCAAGUUGUGUGGGAGAGUUGAUCUGCUUGAGGGUAGGAAGGCUCUGCAGAGGGACCUGAACAGGCUGCAUUGAUGGGCCGAGGCCAAUUGAAUGAGGUUGAGCAAGGCCAAGUGCUGGGUCCUGCACAUGGGUCACAACAACCCCAUGCAACUCUACAGGCUUGGGGAAGAGUGGCUGGAGAGCUGCCUGGGAGAAAGGACCCAGCGCGUUCUGGUUGACAGUCAGCUGAACAUGAGCCGGCAGUGUGCCCAGGUGGGCAAGAAGGCCAACAGCAUCCUGGCUUUUAUCAGAGAUAGUGUGGUCAGCAGAAGUUGGAAAGUGAUCGUGCCCCUGUACUCAAUGCUGAUGUGGCCACAUCUUGAAUACUGUGUUCAGUUUUGGGCCCCCUAGUAUAAGAAGGACAUCAAGUUGCUGGAAUGUGUCCAGAGAAGGGCAAUGAAGCUGAUGAAGGGUCUAGAGCACAAGUCUUAUGAGGAGCAGCUGAGGGAAUUGGGGUUGUUUAGUCUGGAGAAGAGGAGGCUGAGGGGAGACCUUACUGCUCUCUACAACUACCUGACAGGAGGUUGUAGUGAGGUGGGUGUUGGUCUCUUCUCCCAAGUAACUAGUGAUAAGAUGAGAGGAAAUGUCUUCAUUCUGCAUCAGGGGAGGUUUAGAUUGGGUAUUAGGAAAAAUUUCUUCAGUGAAAGAGUGGUCAGACAUCAGAAUAGGCUGCCCAGAGAGGUGGUAGAGUCACCAUCCCUGGAAGUAUUUUAAAAGGUGUGUAGAUGUGGCACUUCAGGGCAUGGUUUAGGAGACAUGGUAGUGCUGCAUUGACGGUUGGACUUGAUGAUCCUAGAGGUCUUUUCCAACGUUAAUGAUUCUAUGGUUUUAAUUUUAAGAGAUGAUAUUCUACCCAACUAUAGUCUGACUGAUCACCUGUAACCAGUGUCCACCAGCACAAAGUUACUUCCUGAGUCCUUAAUUUUCUCUACUUGCCCUGGAAGAUCUCAGUACUAGCUCAGGACCAGGGUUUACACCACUGAACAUAAUAAUUGCCUUUACUAAUCCAGAGCUCGUAAGGAAUAACAUCAUAGUCUUGUUUAAUAUUAUGGACUAAAAGCAACCUCUUUUGCUUUUAUUGAAAAUGUUCAAUAAUUUCUCCAGGUAUGUAUGUAAUUUGAGACAAUUCUUUAUUUAUUUGCUUUUUUCUUUCUUUUCUCUUUGGUCAUUAUAGAAGCUGUGUGAUCCAGGAAAAAGGGUAUUAAUUAAACUCUUCAUAGGAACAUAAACUUGCAGAAAAGCAAGCUUGCUCUCCUGGCAUAUCUCUGAACUUUUUCAAGUUUGACAUUCACAUUUAAUCAUAGCCAUCAAAUGAAUUAAAUGCUAUUGUGUUUCUUCUUAUAAUGGUUUUUCUUUAUUAUUUUUAAAAUACCAGGCAAAGCAGAUUCUACAUUGUUUGCUCUAACAUAUUUUUAGAGAAAUUAUAUCGAACAUCAAAAGUAUGAGAAGUAUACGUCCAUCUCCUUAUUAGAUUGUUACUCAAGAAGCAGCUCAAUAUUCUUUAAAAAGGUGAACAAAUCCAGCUCAUUAGCAUUUUGAUGAAAUUAGGAGGAAAGGUCUAGGAACCUGAUUGUAUUCUGAUGCAAAAUAACAAUAGCAAAGAAGCAAAAAUGUAUUAGAAGGAGAAUUGGAACAGAUUCAGAAACUCAAAAGUCGCAGUGGAAAGGAUAUUCACUUCAUUGUGCAUGAUGUACCAAACAUAUUUUUGAUAAACUCUU